CUCUCUGAAAUCAAUACAAAAUAUAUUAAAAAUAAAGAAAAGGCAGAGAAGCAAAGCAAGGAAAUAUGGGUGGGCUACAGCUUACAGCCUAGUUGGCUGGCUGUGCUUGCUUAUCCUUGGUGUUUGGUUUUGUAACCUUGAGGCAUCCGCAGGCUGAGGUUUGGGUUUGCUUUUGUAGCCUGUACAGUCCGCCAUGCCUUGGAGCCCCCUCUGUCUAGUAGCCUCCUUGUUUCAUGAACAGUUCCAGGUUUAAAGUCCUCCACUGUGGCCACAAUUAUCUUUGGUAAGAUUCACCUAGCUGUUCAGCUUUAAGACAAAAUGUUAUUCACCCGAAGCCUGGCACUGACCCCAGUCUGGUUUCCAAGUCGGCCCCUGUCCGCCCGCGGACCCAGCCCGACUCUGGCUGACUUCCGGACCCAGACCGGAAACAGAAAUGCCCAGGUGAAGUCUGAGCCUGUAAGGCUGAGACUGCGGAGCGGGGAGCCCCCAGACCUGCCGCCGCCGCCACCUCCAGAGGCCGCGCGGGAGAGCAGGUACCGCGCCUGGUUGCGCCUUGCUCCCGGGAAGUCAGCAGCCUCCUUCGCGUUCCUCUCCUAGCACCAUAACUGUCAAGGGACAAACUGAGGCCUAUUAAACAUUUUCAGAGCUUAUUUGAGGCCGUGUUCCCCUGACCUGACUGGCGCUGGAAAGAGGCUUUUAUUGGAGGCUGAAGCAAAGUAAGGAAAUGAUUGGCCACAGUUUGAAGCCUGGUUGGCUGCUUAUGAUUGGUUCUCCUUAGAGUUUUGAUUUCAUAACCUUGAGGCAUUUAUAGGCUUAGGUUUGGGGUCCCCCCCCUCCUAAUGGCCUUCUUGUUUAAUUAAGUUCUUAAUCAUUAGGGAGGCACGUUGGAUCACGAAGUAGACUUCUUUGACUUAAAAAAACAAAACUAAUUCUUAUGUAUUGCUACCUUCUUUUGAACUAACAGAGCUUCCUCUCUGAUAUCCGUGCAGAAGUAGAUGGACGUGGCCCACUCUCAGGUCUGGUUCCUUUUAGGCAAAUCUGGGUGGAAGGGCCCAGGUUGGCCCUGGGGAGAUUGACCUGUGAACAUGAAAAGGAGAGUUUAGGAGAGGAUCUUGUUGCCUUUUUUUUGGUCAUUUUAAUAUUUGCUAUAAAUAUUUGCAACAAGGGAAAUUAUAAUGAGUUGCAGUUUUACUCCUUUUUGACAAGGUGCCUUGAAAUGCACGUGCUUUAUCGUCAAAUGUGUGAUCUGAUGCCAUCCAACAGAACAUUUGCUAGUCCCCAAGCUACUGUGUGUGUCUGAUGACCCUGCCUUAGACUCUACCUUCUAUGCCAGUGGUCUCCAGACUCCUUGAUGGCAUAUUUCCCAAUAAAAGUUUUUUUAGAAAA